AUUAAGCCAUGCAUGUCUAAGUAUAAGCGAUAUACAGUGAAACUGCGAAUGGCUCAUUAAAUCGGUUAUAAUCUACUCGAUAGUACACAUUACAAGGAUAACUCCGGUAAUUCUGUAGCUAACACUUGAUUGCCCUUCGGGGCGUAUCUGUUAGAUUAAAAGCCAACAUCUUUUGGUGAAUCAUAACAGCUUGUCGGAUCGCAUGACCUUGAGUCGGCGAUGUUUCGAUCGAAUUUCCGCUCUAUUAACUAGAUUCAAGGGUAGUGCCCUUGAAUUGUGACAAUGGAUAACGGGGAAUCAGGGUUCGAUUCCGGAGAGGGAGCCUGAGAAACGGCUACCACAUCCAAGGAAGGCAGCAGGCGCGCAAAUUACCCAAUCCUAAUGCAGGGAGGUAGUGACAAUAAAUAACGAUACGGGGCCCAUUGGGUUUCGUAAUUGGAAUGAGAACAAUUUAAAUACCUUAACGAGGAACAAGUAGAGGGCAAGUCUGGUGCCAGCAGCCGCGGUAAUUCCAGCUCUGCUAGUGUAUAUUAAAGUUGUUGCAGUUAAAAAGCUCGUAGUUGAAUGUCGGUUAGCUCUAGCCCUAUUGCCUUUGGCAGCAGGGUACGAGCUAGCUUUCUGUCGGUACGGCUGUGCGUUUACUCGUGCGGCUGUUCUAUCCGACUCGUUACAUUGAAAAAAAUAGAGUGUUCAAAGCGGGCGCUACGCCGGAAUAUUUCAGCAUGGGAUAACAGAAGAAGAUGACUGUCUUAUUUUGUUGGUUUCUAGGACCAGUCUUCAUGGUUAAUAGGAACGGUCGGGGGUAUUAGUAUUUAGUAGUCAGAGGUGAAAUUCUUGGAUUUACUAAAGACUAACAACUGCGAAGGCAUUUACCAAGGACGUUUCCAUUAAUCAAGAGCGAAAGUGGGGGGAUCGAAGACGAUCAGAUACCGUCGUAGUCUCAACCGUAAACGAUGCCGACUCAGGAUCGGUGGGCUUUAAUUUGUGGCUCAUCGGCACUGUACGAAAAAUCAAAGUUUUUGGGCUCUGGGGGAAGUAUUUGCGCAAGCAAGGAACUUAAAGGAAUUGACGGAAGGGCACCACCAGGAGUGGAACCUGCGACUUAAUUUGACUCAACACGGGGAAACUUACCAGGUCCAGACGCGGUUAGGAUUGACAGAUUGAUAGCUCUUUCAUGAUUUCGCGGGUGGUGGUGCAUGGCCGUUCUUAGUUCGUGGAUUCAUCUGGCAACUUGAUUGUGGUAACGAACGAGACCUCUGUGGGUAGUUGCUUUUGCUUAUUAUGAUAAGUAAACGGAUCUACUCAGACUGCUGGUGCGAGCCAGAGGAAGUUGGAGGCGAUAACAGGUCUGUGAUGCCCUUAGACGUUCUGGGCUGUACGCGCGUUACACUGACGGAGCCAACGAGUUUUGGCCUUUGCCGAGAGGUACGGGUAACCUUGUUAAACUCCGUCGUGCUGGGGACUGAGCAUUGCAAUUAUUGCUCACGAACGAGGAAUUCCUAGUAAGCG
rnacentral:rRNA from 1 species